rnacentral:lncRNA from 1 species
AUGCCAUCAUCUUGCAAUUAUCUUGCCAUCCAUUGUAUCUCAAUUGCAAAAGAUUUGGAGAGACUCGAGCGUGAGAGUUCAGCUGCUUCAGCAGAGCUCUCAUCAACCAGUUCCUUAGAAAGCAUUCAUGGCUGUCCUCCGGUUAAUGUCUCUCUUGAUUUGGCACACGGAGCAAACAGGACAGAAGAUGGUGGCCAUAUAGUCAUUACAAAUAGAUCUGGGAAUGCUGUAUCGGGUUCAGUAGAGAGUCCUCAUUGCCACCGUUGUCCCACACAAGCAGCAUUCAUUCAUGUCGGCUGCCACUUGACACCCAAGACAUAUAAAGCAAAAUGUCCCACAGAAGCAGACUCCGCAGUCGCUGAAGCAAUCACACAGGCUGGUCUGCCAGUUGGAAUUUUGGGGAGCAUGGACAAAUCCAGGUUGAGUCACGAUGACUGUUGGUGCCUGAGCCAUCUUCAAUUCGAGGUCUCAAAAGCCCUGGUAGCUUAAAAAAGCCUGGAGCAGGAAGUGUCUUGUGGUCUGGAGUUGACUCUCUCUAAGAGUGGAAGCCUAUCCAAAUUCUUGUAGUCAAAUUACGCAAGCUUUACUUUCUGUCUCCCUAAAACAUAAUUUGGGAGAACAGCAUUGAACACAGGAGAAAGUAGGGUUUGUAUAGCUCAAAAACUUCAAAAGUAGGGGCUUUCCAAGGGGUUGAGGAAUUUUGGUCACAUUGGAAGUUGGAAGAACAUUUCAAAAUUAUUUGGAAGAACAACUUAACUUAUGAGGAUACAUAUAGGUCCAAGGUUCAGUCAGGUACAGACCAAGUUGGAUUCCAGGAGGGUUUAAGUUACAGUCAGGUCAAAUCUUAAGACAUGCGAAGUUAGGUUUUAUAGAAAAGAGAAAUGAACUUAUUUUGACCUUGUAACAAGAUGGCUUCUGACCUUAAGAUGGAGUCAGG